CCACCCUCUGCUGGAGGAAAGAGAACCUGUUUCUGUGGGUCUACUUUUUUGUACAUCAACAAAAAUCUAAUCUAUUUCACUGACUUCACCAACUGCAUGUGUGGUUCCUCUUGAGCGUGCAAAAUAACUCCUGUGUCCGUAUCCUGAACCCUCUUCGGAAUAAACCUUCUUUAUUUGCUUUAGUUCCAUAAAGAACCUUUUCACUGGACAUGAGGCUCUUUAUAGCGGAAGGAAGGUUCUUUAGAUUGAAAUGUUCUUAACUUAAACACAAAGGUUCCAAAAACAGGUUUGCAGGUUCUUCAAAUAACCUUUUGUGCAAUGUAAAGUUUCCACUGUUGUUAAACAUUCUUCACAGAAACGUCAAUGCUAAUAAAGAACCUGAUAUGUUUUUUAAAGGUUAUUUUAAAGGAAUAGUUAACCAAAUAUUAAAAUGUGCUAAAAAAAAAAAAAAAGUGCCUCGCCCUCUGGUCAUCCAAAAUUAGGAUGAGUUUGUUUCUUCAUCAGAUUUAGAGAAAUGUAGCAUUGCAUCAGUGUCUCAUCAGUGGAUGCUCUGCAGUGAAUGGGUGCCGUCAGAAUGAGAGUACAAACAGCUGAUAAAAACAUCACAAUAAUCCACACCACUCCAUUUUAAUAAUAUAUAGCGUCAUAUUGUUAACUUUCUUAGCAUUUCUAAAAAAAUAAAUGAAAUGUUCUUUUGGUUUCUUGCCACAGUUUGUUACUAUUUUGACUUGAAGAGCAGUUAUGAUUUGGUUGCACCCACACACACACACACACACACACACACACAAUAUAACACCUCAUGUCUCUCUCACACACUUCGAAAGCACAAGAGAGAGAGAGAUGGGGGAUGGGUGUCAUUGAAGACCAGAAGCAGAGAGGAAGGCUGAUGUUGUAAAACACAAGACUACAUGAUUAUUAUUAGUAUUAUUGUGUGUAAGCAGAAGGACACGGUCAUGCACCAUCUCUCUGCAAAGCUUUUAUUUUGCCAUUUUUUGUGUAUUUUCCUGAGAUCAUGUUGUAGACUGCCCGGUGAGGAUGCAGGUAAACACAUGAGCAAGGACAGAGACAUACAGUGAGAAAAAUGCAGCAUUCAUUCAUUCUACAGCACACAUGAGGAUGCUGGAGCCACGUGUGAGGUUGUCACCGAGCUCUGACCAGAUGUCAACAAUCCCAUGCUGCACUGCUCACAGAAUGGACUCCCAACGGUGAUGGCAAAGAGGAAUGGUCAGAGGAGCAAUGGGAGAAAUGGUUGACCCAUGACAUAUGCUUGGAUGGAUUUGAAGAUGAGGACCUGUCUGAAAUCACAGAAAUCAAAGAUGAAUUUGUACUGAGGUCUAGGCGCGAUGACUCUGACAUCAAGAUGACAAAAGAUCUUGCUUAACAUGACACUUUAAACAACAACUCAUUUGUGAAGAAGUACAGCUGGCAGCAGAAAAUCUCCCAGACCUUGCUGCCCCUUAAAACAGGUGAGCUGGCUCCUUCUCGUGAACACGUGUCUGAGCGACGAGGAGAAGCACCAGCCGGGACAGAGUCAGACUCAAAUGAAAGACUGCGGCACAUCGACUGACAAACCCAGGAGAGGGUUUGUUGGGAACGCUGCAGACUUCCAUGAGCAACUCGGACGUGAGCAAACUUUCGUACGAUUCGGUCAAAUACACGCUGGUGGUGGACGAGCACGAUCAGCUGGAGCUCGUCAGCUUGAAAGAGUGUUAUCACGGAUACAGUGAUGACAGCGACUCGGCCACCGUCUACGAUAACCAUGUCUCCUCUCCAUACGAGGAUGAGGAGGAUGAAGACAGGGGAAGAAAACAAAGCGGGAUCAAACAGAGUCUGUCAGAGGACUCCACACCUGAAGCCGACAUGCAGUUUGCUCUGAAAUUUGUUAACGUUUUCAUGAACGGCUGCUCACGCUCUUCCAUUAA